rnacentral:rRNA from 1 species
GACGAACGCUGGCGGCGUGCUUAACACAUGCAAGUCGAACGGAAAGGCCCUUCGGGGUACUCGAGUGGCGAACGGGUGAGUAACACGUGGGUGAUCUGCCCUGCACUUUGGGAUAAGCCUGGGAAACUGGGUCUAAUACCGAAUAGGACCACGCGCUUCAUGGUGUGUGGUGGAAAGCUUUUGCGGUGUGGGAUGGGCCCGCGGCCUAUCAGCUUGUUGGUGGGGUAAUGGCCUACCAAGGCGACGACGGGUAGCCGGCCUGAGAGGGUGACCGGCCACACUGGGACUGAGAUACAGCCCAGACUCCUACGGGAGGCAGCAGUGGGGAAUAUUGCACAAUGGGCGCAAGCCUGAUGCAGCGACGCCGCGUGAGGGAUGACGGCCUUCGGGUUGUAAACCUCUUUCAAUAGGGACGAAGCGCAAGUGACGGUACCUAUAGAAGAAGCACCGGCCAACUACGUG